rnacentral:lncRNA from 1 species
CUGCCAGAUUUGAAUAUCAUGGGGGUUUUAGUGCUGUUUUUGUCAAAACUCUUAUUUUCAGAUUUUUAAAGGCUUGAAUGAAUGAAGUUAUAUGAGAAGUGUUGAAGUUUAUGUAUUGGAAUAAAUUAUGUAUAGGGCUUAUAUAUGUAUAAGUUAUUGAUUUUAAGGAAGUGUGAGUAAUUCAAUGGAAUUGAUAAUGAAUGGUGAUUAGUUGAUAAAUCAUUAGAGAGGAGAAAAGUUGGGAAAUUGGAGAUGUAAGAGUAAAU